GACGAACGCUGGCGGCGUGCUUAACACAUGCAAGUCGAACGGUAAGGCCCUUCGGGGUACACGAGUGGCGAACGGGUGAGUAACACGUGGGUGAUCUGCCCUGCACUUCGGGAUAAGCCUGGGAAACUGGGUCUAAUACCGGAUAGGACCAUGGACUUCACGGUUUGUGGUGGAAAGCUUUUGCGGUGUGGGAUGGGCCCGCGGCCUAUCAGCUUGUUGGUGGGGUAAUGGCCUACCAAGGCGACGACGGGUAGCCGGCCUGAGAGGGUGUCCGGCCACACUGGGACUGAGAUACGGCCCAGACUCCUACGGGAGGCAGCAGUGGGGAAUAUUGCACAAUGGGCGCAAGCCUGAUGCAGCGACGCCGCGUGAGGGAUGACGGCCUCGGUUGUAAC
rnacentral:rRNA from 1 species